GACGAACGCUGGCGGCGUGCUUAACACAUGCAAGUCGAACGGAAAGGCCCUGCUUUUGUGGGGUGCUCGAGUGGCGAACGGGUGAGUAACACGUGAGUAACCUGCCCUUGACUUUGGGAUAACUUCAGGAAACUGGGGCUAAUAUCGGAUAGGAUCUCCUGCUGCAUGGUGGGGGUUGGAAAGUUGCGGCGUUUGGGGAUGGACUCGCGGCUUAUCAGCUUGUUGGUUGGGUAGGGGCUUACCAAGGCUUUGACGGGUAGCCGGCCUGUGAGGGUGACCGGGCACAUUGGUACUGAGGUACGGAGCAGACUCGUAUGGGAGGCAGCGGGGGGAAAUAUUGCGCAGUGGGCUGGAGCCUGAGACGGCGACGCCGCGUGCGGAAAGACGGCCUUCGGGUUAUGAACAGCUUUCGCCUGUGACGAAGCGUGAGUGACGGUAAUGAGUAAAGAAGCACCGGCUAACUACGUG
rnacentral:rRNA from 1 species